rnacentral:rRNA from 1 species
GGCGAGUGANCGGCNACAGCUCAAAUUUGAAAUCUGGCUUCGGCCCGAGUUGUAAUUUGCAGAGGAUGCUUCUGGCGCGGUGCCUUCCGAGUUCCCUGGAACGGGACGCCACAGAGGGUGAGAGCCCCGUAUGGUCGGACACCAAGCCUGUGUGAAGCUCCUUCGACGAGUCGAGUAGUUUGGGAAUGCUGCUCUAAAUGGGAGGUAAAUCUCUUCUAAAGCUAAAUACCGGCCAGAGACCGAUAGCGCACAAGUAGAGUGAUCGAAAGAUGAAAAGCACCUUGAAAAGGGGGUUAAAUAGUACGUGAAAUUGUUGAAAGGGAAGCACUUAUGACCAGACUUGGGCCGGGCGGCUCAUCAGGGGUUCUCCCCUGUGCACUCCGCCCGGCACAGGCCAGCAUCGGUUCUCGUGGGGGGAUAAGACCGUCAGGAACGUAGCACCCUCCGGGGUGUGUUAUAGCCUGGCGGACGAUACCCCCGUGGGGACCGAGGUCCGCGCUCCGCAAGGAUGCUGGCGUAAUGGUCAUCAGUGACCCGUCUU